rnacentral:rRNA from 1 species
AUUGAACGCUGGCGGCAGGCCUAACACAUGCAAGUCGAGCGAGUGGAGGACGGGUGAGUAAUGUCUGGGAAACUGCCCGACGGAGGGGGAAAACUACUGGAAACGGGAGCUAAUACCGCAUACCAUCGGAUGUGCCCAGAUGGGAUUAGCUUGAAGGUGAGGUAACGGCUCACCUAGGCGACGAUCCCUAGCUGGUCUGAGAGGAUGACCAGCCGCGAUGGAACUUAGACUCGGUCCCGACUCCUACGGGAGGCAGCAGUGGGGGAUAUUGCACAAUGGGCGCAAGCCUGAUGCAGCCAUGCCGCGUGUAUGAAGAAGGCCUUCGGGUUGUAAAGUACUUUCAGCGAGGAGGCGUUGCCCGCAGAAGAAGCACCGGCUAACUCCGUGCCAGCAGCCGCGGUAAUUC